GUGGGGAAUAUUGGACAAUGGGCGAAAGCCUGAUCCAGCCAUGCCGCGUGUGUGAAGAAGGUCUUCGGAUUGUAAAGCACUUUAAGUUGGGAGGAAGGGCAGUAAGUUAAUACCUUGCUGUUUUGACGUUACCGACAGAAUAAGCACCGGCUAACUUCGUGCCAGCAGCCGCGGUAAUACGAAGGGUGCAAGCGUUAAUCGGAAUUACUGGGCGUAAAGCGCGCGUAGGUGGUUUUGUAAGUUGGAGGUGAAAUCCCCGGGCUCAACCUGGGAACAGCCUCCAAAACUGCAUGACUAGAGUACGGUAGAGGGUAGUGGAAUUUCCUGUGUAGCGGUGAAAUGCGUAGAUAUAGGAAGGAACACCAGUGGCGAAGGCGACUACCUGGACUGAUACUGACACUGAGGUGCGAAAGCGUGGGGAGCAAACAGGAUUAGAUACCCGUGUAGUCC
rnacentral:rRNA from 1 species